rnacentral:rRNA from 1 species
AGUGAACGCUGGCGGUAGGCCUAACACAUGCAAGUCGAACGGCAGCACAGUAAGAGCUUGCUCUUACGGGUGGCGAGUGGCGGACGGGUGAGGAAUACAUCGGAAUCUACUUUUUCGUGGGGGAUAACGUAGGGAAACUUACGCUAAUACCGCAUACGACCUACGGGUGAAAGCAGGGGAUCUUCGGACCUUGCGCGAUUGAAUGAGCCGAUGUCGGAUUAGCUAGUUGGCGGGGUAAAGGCCCACCAAGGCGACGAUCCGUAGCUGGUCUGAGAGGAUGAUCAGCCACACUGGAACUGAGACACGGUCCAGACUCCUACGGGAGGGAGCAGUGGGGAAUAUUGGACAAUGGGCGCAAGCCUGAUCCAGCCAUACCGCGUGUGUGAAGAAGGCCUUCGGGUUGUAAAGCCCUUUUGUUGGGAAAGAAAAGCAGCAGGUUAAUACCCCGCUGUUCUGACGGUACCCAAAGAAUAAGCACCGGCUAACUUCGUG